GAUGAACGCUAGCUACAGGCUUAACACAUGCAAGUCGAGGGGAACGACAUCGAAAGCUUGCUUUUGAUGGGCGUCGACCGGCGCACGGGUGAGUAACGCGUAUCCAACCUGCCCACCACUUGGGGAUAACCUUGCGAAAGUAAGACUAAUACCCGAUGAUAUCCCUAGAAGACAUCUGAAAAGGGAUUUAAAGAUUUAUCGGUGAUGGAUGGGGAUGCGUCUGAUUAGCUUGUUGGCGGGGUAACGGCCCACCAAGGCAACGAUCAGUAGGGGUUCUGAGAGGAAGGUCCCCCACAUUGGAACUGAGACACGGUCCAAACUCCUACGGGAGGCAGCAGUGAGGAAUAUUGGUCAAUGGGCGAGAGCCUGAACCAGCCAAGUAGCGUGCAGGACGACGGCCCUAUGGGUUGUAAACUGCUUUUAUAAGGGAAUAAAGUGAGUCUCGUGAGACUUUUUGCAUGUACCUUAUGAAUAAGGACCGGCUAAUUCCGUG
rnacentral:rRNA from 1 species